rnacentral:rRNA from 1 species
UACGGAGGGUGCAAGCGUUAUCCGGAUUCACUGGGUUUAAAGGGCGCGUAGGUGGCCCCUCAAGCGUGCGGUGAAAGUCAGGGGCUCAACCCCUGAUCGGCCGUGCGAACUGGGGAGCUUGAGCACUGUAGAGGCAGGCGGAAUUCCGGGUGUAGCGGUGGAAUGCGUAGAGAUCCGGAAGAACACCGGUGGCGAAGGCGGCCUGCUGGGCAGUUUUGCUGACACUGAGGCGCGACAGCGUGGGGAGCAAACAGG